rnacentral:rRNA from 1 species
UACGGUAGGAGCCAAGCGUUGUCCGGAUUUAUUGGGUUUAAAGGGUGCGUAGGCGGUCUUAUAAGUCAGUGGUGAAAUACGGCAGCUCAACUGUCGAGGUGCCAUUGAUACUGUAGGACUUGAGUACAGACGAGGUAGGCGGAAUUGACGGUGUAGCGGUGAAAUGCUUAGAUAUCGUCAAGAACACCGAUAGCGAAGGCAGCUUACUAGGCUGUAACUGACGCUGAGGCACGAAAGUGUGGGGGAUCAAACAGG